AACCCCCAUGACCACUCUGCAACUCGGCCUUAUCACCCUACAAAUUCCUGGCAGACCAGGGAUUUGUGGUUCUGCGGACAGACAACUCGCCCAAGGCUUGGUAACCUAGUUAAGUGCCAGGAAGGGCAGACAAAUCUACACAUGGUUGAUUAUAAAGCCCACUAACCCAUACUGAGGGCUUUAACUAAAACCUAAUAUGGGGGCGGGGGGGGGUGGUUCCCUAAUUACUUGAGUAAUCAGUCUCUGGCUCACUGUAGUUACCAGGCUGCAUGAGGAAGCACAGGUCAUCCCGUUAUCAUUUAAUGUUUAGUUCACAUCAGCAUGAGCAUCUGUUCCUGCUCACUUUCUUGGCUGGUUAGCAUCACGGAAUA